GACGAACGCUGGCGGCGUGCCUAAUACAUGCAAGUCGAACGCUUCUUUCCUCCCGAGUGCUUGCACUCAAUUGGAAAGAGGAGUGGCGGACGGGUGAGUAACACGUGGGUAACCUACCCAUCAGAGGGGGAUAACACUUGGAAACAGGUGCUAAUACCGCAUAACAGUUUAUGCCGCAUGGCAUAAGAGUGAAAGGCGCUUUCGGGUGUCGUUGAUGGAUGGACCCGCGGUGCAUUAGCUAGUUGGUGAGGUAACGGCUCACCAAGGCGACGAUGCAUAGCCGACCUGAGAGGGUGAUCGGCCACACUGGAACUGAGACACGGCCCAGACUCCUACGGGAGGCAGCAGUAGGGAAUCUUCGGCAAUGGGCGAAAGUCUGACCGAGCAACGCCGCGUGAGUGAAGAAGGUUUUCGGAUCGUAAAACUCUGUUGUUAGAGAAGAACAAGGACGUUAGUAACUGAACGUGCCCUGACGGUAUCUAACCAGAAAGCCACGGCUAACUACGUG
rnacentral:rRNA from 1 species